CCCUGCCUACCUGAGGUUUUCUGAAGCUGCUUCAGAGUAUGUUAAGAAGAAAAGGCUCUGGAUCUCCCUUGCCCCCCAAGGCCCAUCAGAUUGGUGCUGCAAGAACACAGCAGAUGUCAGGCAGACCACAGCCACGAGACACCUGGGAGUGAAUGAGCUGAAAGCAAUGCUUCAGCAGCAGAGAAGAGCUUCUGUCAGCGUUCUGUGCCAGAAGUAAAAGCGGAGCUCCCCCGGCCUCUGUACUGAUGAGAAAAUGGACUGUGGUUUUUAUGGCUUCUGUGUUAAUUGUGUUCCCUUUGACGUGAGGAGAUGCACACAGUGCAGCAUGCAUGGAUUUGAUGCUGCCUAUGGAAGCUGUGCUGCUGCUCAUGGGACUGAUACAGGGAACACAGGAAAACAGCAACGGGGAACAACAGGAAAGCAGCGUGAACGUCACGUCCCAAGGAGAAGUUGUGUGCCACGUGUUUUCCGAAGAUAAAACAGCAAAAAGAAGACCUCAGAUCUGAGCGGCUACAGAAGACUGCCUGCCUCCUUCCACAACCACUUGAGCUGGAAGAGUUCUGCACCAAUGACACAACUUAAAUGCAAGUAUUUGUCUAAUUCUGAAUUGAAGGGGCACGGGAGCCUGCAGCCUCCUCUUGUGAUUUUGGUGAGUAAGGCUGGCACUGGGAGCGAUUGCUUGAGAACGCAGAACCCCCAGAGCACAGUACUGGUGCUGUGGGUGCACCCUGUCAGAACACCUUUAGCUGGAGGAGAGCAUCCACUAGUUGUGCUCCAUCCUGAGGAGAGCAGUAACCGUGCUUUGCAUCACUGCAUGACAUUGCAUGCGCAAAGCGUGGUCAGCUGGGAGGUGAGCUCCAAAAAUAUGCUCAGAAAAUGAGACAUGGCACUGAUAGAGACACAUUCCCUCCUUAACAGUAGCUCCAGUCAGUGCAGGUGCCUGAGGAACUGAACUUCAGGUGGACUGAAGUUGCGUAGGACCUGUUGAGGGAGCACAGCAAGACCUCGGCACAGCCUUCUGUCAUGAGAAGGGCUGCGGCUCUGAAGGAGAAGUUCCCUCUCUGCUGCCUGUCCCAGUCACACUAUAGAGCGCCCAGGGACAACAGAGCAGCCACGUUGCUAGCUGCUCCAGAGAUCUCCUGGGCACGUGGAUGUGGCUGCACCAUUCAGUCAGGGAAACCUUUGGGGAAGUUCUCAGCCUGCACUUCCCACGGUGACCCGAGGUUGUUCUGUUCCUGAGUACGAAUGAGCGACGCGUUAUGGUCAUCCUGUACUCACACACCCACGCUCGCAGAGACCCAGAAAGGCUUCAGCCUGAGCGUGGCUCCUUCAGGCAGCCCAGAGGACAGCAGCACAAGGGGCCCGCAGCUCCCAGCAGCCGAACGCCUCCGUAACAGCUGUGGCAGCUGCCGCUCCGAUCCCCGUGGGAGGCAGAACCGAGGUCUGUGCGCUCCCGUGGCUGGAGCCUCCUGCCAGUAUUUCCUACCGGGAACGCGCUGUUGCACAACGGCAUCCAUGAGCAGGAAGGGCUCUUCUCGUUUCACGGGGAGCUGCCAACGCGCUGACGGACACCGCCUGCACCGUCCCCACCAGCCGCAGCGUUUCUCUCUCCCUGUCUGUUCCGGCCCCGCUCCCCUUUCCCCGCAGCCCCUCGGCGGGCCGUACGACAGCCCCCGUUCGGCCUAUUUCCGAGCCCGUGCCCUCGCUUCCACACGGUGACAUUUCGGGCCCCGGCACGCCCGACCCU